rnacentral:rRNA from 1 species
AUUGCACGAUGGCGGCAGGCCUAACACAUGCAAGUCGAACGAGUGGCGGACGGGUGAGUAAUGUCUGGGAAACUGCCCGAUGGAGGGGGAUAACUACUGGAAACGGUAGCUAAUACCGCAUACCAUGGGAUGUGCCCAGAUGGGAUUAGCUAGUAGGGGGGGUAACGGCUAACCUAGGCGACGAUCCCUAGCUGGUCUGAGAGGGUGACCAGCCACACUGGAACUUGGACACGGGCCAGACUCCUACGGGAGGCAGCAGUGGGGAAUAUUGCACAAUGGGCGCAAGCCUGAUACAGCCAUGCCGCGUGUAUGAAGAAGGCCUUCGGGUUGUAAAGUACUGUCAGCGGGGAGGCGUUACCCGCAGAAGAAGCACCGGCUAACUCCGUGCCAGCAGCCGCGGUAAUAC